AUUGAACGCUGGCGGCAGGCCUAACACAUGCAAGUCGAACGAGUGGCGGACGGGUGAGUAAUGUCUGGGAAACUGCCCGAUUGAGGGGGAUAACUCCUGGAAACGGUAGCUAAUACCGCAUACCCUCGGAUGUGCCCAGAUGGGAUUAGCUAGUAGGUGGGGUAAAGGCUCACCUAGGCGACGAUCCCUAGCUGGUCUGAGAGGAUGACCAGCCACAAUGGAACUGAGACACGGACCAGACUCCUACGGGAGGCAGCAGUGGGGAAUAUUGCACAAUGGGCGCAAGCCUGAUGCAGCCAUGCCGCGUGUAUGAAGAAGGCCUUCGGGUUGUAAAGUACUGGCAGCGGGGAGGCGUUACCCGCAGAAGAAGCACCGGCUAACUCCGUGCCAGCAGCCGCGGUAAUUC
rnacentral:rRNA from 1 species